rnacentral:lncRNA from 10 species
CCGCCAUCUUACGCCCGUCGCCCUGAGUACGUUAGCGGAAAUGGCUCCGAGAGGCUUUGACGCAUGUGUACCUUUUUAGUGGCGGUAUCUCGGCCGGGGAUUUUCGGGCUCCAGUGGAGGUGGCUAUGCUCACCCCAUCUCCCUUGAGAGGCACAGAAGAUGGAGAAACUGAGGCCCAGGCCAAAAAAUAUCUCACUAGAGGGCUCACCGCCAUUUCCUGGAAAAAUUGGGGCUGGGACUCAACGGACGCUCGUCCAGCAGCAGCGCGGAGCUCCGAAGUAAAGGCGCCCGUGACCGAGUGCUUUGUCCUUACAAGCGUGGUGUUCUUGAAUGCUUCCAGGCGCCUUAUGAGGCCCCCGAUGUACAAUCUGUGCUUAACUAAACCCCACUGUCUUCCAGGGUCAGGUUGGCCAUCCGCAGGCGUAGUUGCUAGGAAGGUUUGACAGAUGUCCGCCUGUUGAUUCAGACGUUCCCAGGAUUUGGAGCAAGAAGAGCAAGGAAGGCCAGGCGCGGUGGCUCACGUUUGUAAUCCCAGCACUUUGGGAGGCCGAGGCGGGCGGAUCACGAGGUCAGGAGUUCGAGACCAGCCUGGCCAGCAUGGUGAAACCCCGUCUCUACUAAAAAUACAAAAGAAAAUUAGCCGGGUGUGGUGGCACAUGCCUGUAGUCCCACCUACUUGGGAGGCUGAGGCAGGAGAAUUGUUUGACCUGGCAGGCGGAGGUUGCAGUGAGCCGAGAUUGCGCCACUGCACUCCAGUCUGGGCGACAGAGCGAGACUCUGUCUCAGAAAAAAAAAAGAGCAAGGAGGUGUUGAAAAUGGGUUUCCUGGCUGGGCGUGGUGGCUCACGCUUGUAAUCCCAGCACUUUGGGAAGCUGAGGUGGGCGGAUCACUUGAGGUCAGGAGUUUGAGACCAGCCUGGCCAACAUGGUGAAACACCGUCUCCACUAAAAAUAGAAAAAUUAACUGGGUGUGGUGGAGGGCGCCUGUAAUCCCAGCUAAUCAGGAAGCUGAGACAGGAGGAUCGCUUGAACCCAGGAGGCGGAGGUUGCAGUGAGCCGAGAUUGCUCCAUUGCACUCCAGCCUGGGCGAUAGAGUGAGACUCAGCCUCAAAAAAAAAAAAAAAAAAAAAUUCGCCAGGUGUGGUGGUGUGCGCCUAUAAUCCCAGCUACUCAGGAGGCAGAGGCACAAGAAUGGCUUGAAUCACUUGAACCUGGGAGGCAGAGGUUACAAUGAGCCGAGAUGGCACCACUGCACUCCAGCCUGGGCGACAGAGCGAGACUCCGACUUCCCAUCUUAAAAAAAAAAAAAAAAAAAAAAAAGAAGUGUAAAGAUGUGAUUAUGUGGCAGGGGGUAAGGGUUAAAAAGAAAACAAGAACAAGUUUUCCUCUGCUUAGCCAGCUUACUUCAAGGACAGUUAUAACACUGAAAAGUCGAGGCCAAAGGAAUGGGCUCCAGACAGCCUCCUCCGGAGCAAAGUUGAAAAGAAAAAUUCCUUUACUGUCUCUCCUUUUCUGAACCAUUAAAUAUGACUGUUUGCCAAUGGUUGUAUUUAGUAAGAUUUGUAGACUCUGUUUUUCUUUUGACACAGCUGCAAGGCCAACAGCUGUGCAAAGCCACAAGUUAUGCUAAGUCAGCAGUUAUGCUAUAGAUUACAUGACCUGUGACUGUAUCAUUAACUGCUUUUGUUUUGCUUCUGUAAGUUUGCCUAUAAAAACCACACUCAGUCUUUGUUCAAUGGUCAGCUUUUCAGAUACAAAUCCACUGAGCCGGUGUACAUCUAAAUAAAUCCUCCUGUUUCCCGUGUCAGUCUCUCUGGUCCUUUGUUUCCUGCAACAAUUACAGAAAUGAG